rnacentral:rRNA from 1 species
AACCCAGCGAACUGAAAUAUCUAAGUAGCUGGAGGAAAGGACAUCAACCGAGACUCCGUUAGUAGUGACGAGCGAACGCGGACCAGGCCAGUGGCCAAUUUGAAGAUAACCGGAAUAACCUGGAAAGGUUAGCCAUAGUAGGUGAUAGCCCCGUACGGGUAAUGCUUCAUUUUGGUCCUUGAGUAGGGCGGGACACGAGAAAUCCUGCUUGAACAUGGGGGGACCACCCUCCAAGCCUAAGUACUACUCUGUGACCGAUAGCGAACAAGUACCGUGAGGGAAAGGUGAAAAGAACCCCUAUGAGGGGAGUGAAACAGACCUGAAACCGAAUGCUUACAAACAGUAGGAGCAACAUUAAGUUGUGACUGCGUACCUUUUGUAUAAUGGGUCAGCGAGUUAAUUUAUCGAGCAAGCUUAAGCCGUUAGGUGUAGGCGAAGCGAAAGCGAGUAUGAAUAGUGCGUUUUAGUUCGAUGGAUUAGACCCGAAACCGGGUGAUCUAGCUAUGGGCAGGUUGAAGGUGCGGUAACACGCACUGGAGGACCGAACCCACGUCUGUUGAAAAAGACGGGGAUGACCUGUGGCUAGGGGUGAAAGGCCAAUCAAACCCGGAGAUAGCUGGUUCUCCGCGAAAACUAUUUAGGUAGUGCGUUAUAUAUUACUGCCGGGGGUAGAGCACUGGAUGGGCUAGGGGGGCGCGAGCCUUACCAAACCUAACCAAACUCCGAAUACCGGUAAGUACAGUAUAGCAGA